CCCUUAGAUGUUCUGGGCCGCACGCACGCUACACUGAUGCAUUCAACGAGUUUCUUCCUGGUCCGAGAGGAAUGGGUAACCUUUUGAAAGUGCAUCGUGAUAGGGAUAGACUAUUGCAAUUAUUGGUCUUCAACGAGGAAUUCCUAGUAGACGUAGUUCAUCAGACUGCAUCGAUUACGUCCCUGCCCUUUGUACACACCGCCCGUCGCUCCUACCGAUUGAAUGCUCAGGUGAGCCAUUCGGACUUUCAUCAUGCUGGUUUCCAGUUUUGAUGAAGGAAAGUCUUGCGAACCUUAUCAUUUAGAGGAAGGAGAAGUCGUAACA
rnacentral:rRNA from 1 species